ensembl:snoRNA
AAAGCAGGUCUGCAAUUGCAGCUCUUCUUUGCAGUAGAGUGCUGUCAUUAACCCUGCUGAGAGCAUGUUUUUGCUGUAGAGCUUGUUCUCCUGCUCACCAUGCUGGUGAUCAGGAAGCUCUGUAGUUGAACACUG